rnacentral:rRNA from 1 species
GGAAGGAUCAUUAUUGAAUGAACUUGGUGUGGUUGUUGCUGGCCCUCUCGGGGGCAUGUGCACACCCGCCAUCCUCAUCUCUCCACCUGUGCACCUCUUGUAGACCUGGAUAGACUUUCCGAGGCAACUCGGUCGGGAAGAUUGCUGCGCUCUGUGAGCCAGCUUUCUUUGCAUGUCCAGGCCUAUGUUUUUCAUAUACCCCUAUAGAAUGUAACAGAAUGUAUCAUUGGGCCUUGUGCCUAUAAACCUUAUACAACUUUCAGCAACGGAUCUCUUGGCUCUCGCAUCGAUGAAGAACGCAGCGAAAUGCGAUAAGUAAUGUGAAUUGCAGAAUUCAGUGAAUCAUCGAAUCUUUGAACGCACCUUGCGCUCCUUGGUAUUCCGAGGAGCAUGCCUGUUUGAGUGUCAUUAAAUUCUCAACCUUAUUAGCUUUUGUUGAUAAUGGAUUGGAUGUGGGGGUUUCUUUUGCUGGCUUCUUCACAGAUAUCAGCUCCCCUUAAAUGCAUUAGCUGGUGCCCCGCGUGGACCAUCUAUUGGUGUGAUAAUUAUCUACGCCGUGGAUGUCUGCAAUCAUAUGGGUUUUGCACUGCUUCUAACCGUCUGUUCAUUCGGACAAUACAUGACAAUUUGACCUCAAAUCAGG